rnacentral:lncRNA from 1 species
AAAAAACAGUUUAUGGGAUCAUUGGUGUUGGCCAUUAGUUUUAAAAAUUCAAGUGAUAGAAAUACACCAUCAAUUCAUUCAAAAAUUAUAUAGUUACAUGUAUCUUUAACUGUACUGCAGUGUAAAUUUAUUAUUUGAUUUGGUAUAGUUAAGCUCGACAAUUGCAGUUGCAUUUAUAUAAGAAGGUCCAACUGUUGUAGCUGGUACUGCAACCGUUGGGUCGGCGUUGUCACACCCGUUUAAAUAAAAAAACAACGUGUGAUUUUUUUUCGUUAGCUUCACUUUUAUUUAAUAAUUAAAAAAUUACAUGAUUAUUUUUUAUGUUUAGAGGAGGUAAUAUCACCCUUUUAUUUAAAAAGUAAUAGGAUUCAUAAAUAUAAAUUUCAGCUUCAGUCUACCAAGCAGAAAAAAUAUAAUUCUAUAGAACCAAAUAGAUUGGGUGCAGUUACAGCUAUAAUAUUUGCAACUGCAUAUAUUUUCAACUAUACUGUUUUGACAACUACAUCCAACUAAACGGUCCCUUAAGGCAUACGGAAACAGUGCUUACAGGCUCGUUAAAGUAUCGAGCCGAAAAAUUCAGCUCGUGUUCGGCUCGUUUAUUAACGAGCCGAACACGAGAUGGCUCACGAGCUGGCCAACGAACAAUAAAUUAAAAAGAAUUAGAUUAAAUAUAUAUAAAAAAUAAAUUUAUAAAAUCUUAUCCAUUACUUUGAUCUAAUAAUU